AAGUCGUAACAAGGUUUCCGUAGGUGAACCUGCGGAAGGAUCAUUAAUGCUACAUUCCACUUGAGGAAUCGCCUGGUUUGGAAUUUUUUUUUCAAGCCGGCAUCCACAAGCGUGAACGUGUAUCUUAUCUUAAACGCUUAAGGAACUUUUUAUUUAAGUUCCCUAACGUAUCAAGUAACUUGAGAAGCCUUUGCUGUUUUGUUGAAAGAUAGCAAAGUGUUUUUCUCACAUUUUUUCUUUUACUACCAUAAUUACCCUAUUAACUUAUAAACUAUUUAGACUGAUAUAAAAUAACAUUUAUUUUAUAAAUGUAUGAUACAACUCUUAGCAAUGGAUAUCUAGGCUCUU
rnacentral:misc_RNA from 1 species